rfam:Aspergillus glaucus CBS 516.65 unplaced genomic scaffold ASPGLscaffold_12, whole genome shotgun sequence.
UUCUAUGAUGAUCCUCAAGACACGCAAUAGGCAUUCCUCAAUCUUAAGACCCAUGUGGAAUCUGUCAUUUACUCAAGUUUCAGCCUUGUCUGAUU